rnacentral:rRNA from 1 species
CACGUAGGGCGCAAGCGUUGUCCGGAAUUAUUGGGCGUAAAGAGCUCGUAGGCGGUCUGUUACGUCUGCUGUGAAAACCCGGGGCUUAACCCUGGGCUUGCAGUGGAUACGGGCAGACUAGAGGCAGGUAGGGGGAGAAUGGAAUUCCGGUGUAGCGGUGAAAUGCGCAGAUAUCGGGAGGAACACCGGUGGCGAAGGCGGGUUCUCUGGGCCUGACCUGACGCUGAGGAGCGAAAGCGUGGGGAGCGAACAGGA